CCAAAUAAUUGGCUUUAGUUGUUUACUAGAAGGGGCUUUGGAGGGAUGUUAAGAAUUAUAUUCGCAAUUGUUCAAUUUGCCAAAGAUUUAAGCCCGAAAGCAUAACAACUCCUGGCCUAUCACAGCCAGUCCAAGCAAGAAGAAAUUAGGUAAACAGGGAAGUAAGAGAGAAGAAAUUAUAGGUGAUGUCAGACAGUGCAGAGAAAGUUAAAAUAAAUCAGAACAUGCGAAACUGUGUCGCAAGAGGGCAAGAGAGUACAAUUCAGAUGACGAUGAACAGGAGUAGCCCCCUCCAAGAUUAGAGGCGAUAUACCACUUUCUACUCACAAUCACGAGGUAGAAGGUGGGGACUCUUCUGAAGAUGGACUGGAUGUAAAUUCCGCCAAUUAAGAAUUUCUUGAUGAAGAAGAAAGUCCUGAAAUUCAGCCUGGAUAGAGCAUUCAAGAUGGCAUUUAAGAGCAUCAUAGGAAUUAGUGUAGCUGAUGAUGCACUUGGUGCAGUUUUACCAGCACGCCAGAAGCUUCUUGUUGAGAAGCUCACUGCAAAGGAAGAUGAGCCCAAGGACAAGGGAGAGAAUAAGAAAGCAAAACACUUGGUAAGACUAAACUUGGUUUCAAAUAUGCCUUUUUUAAUGUUUUGAAAUGGCAGUCUGUGUGUUUAAUUUUUUUUCUUGCUAAUCAGAUUGAUAAUAUAUAUAGUUUUUCUGACAUCUUAGGUAGGAGAUAAGGUCUUUACUCGAGUUUGCUUUGUUUAGUAUGAGUAAUUUGAUUCU